rnacentral:rRNA from 1 species
GAAAGAUGGUUCUGCUAUCACUCUUGGAUGGACCUGCGGUGCAUUAGCUAGUUGGUAAGGUAACGGCUUACCAAGGCAAUGAUGCAUAGCCGAGUUGAGAGACUGAUCGGCCACAUUGGGACUGAGACACGGCCCAAACUCCUACGGGAGGCAGCAGUAGGGAAUCUUCCACAAUGGACGAAAGUCUGAUGGAGCAACGCCGCGUGAGUGAAGAAGGGUUUCGGCUCGUAAAGCUCUGUUGGUAGUGAAGAAAGAUAGAGGUAGUAACUGGCCUUUAUUGACGGUAAUUACUUAGAAAGUCACGGCUAACUACGUGCCAGCAGCCGCGGUAAUACGUAGGUGGCAAGCGUUGUCCGGAUUUAUUGGGCGUAAAGCGAGUGCAGGCGGUUCAAUAAGUCUGAUGUGAAAGCCUUCGGCUCAACCGGAGAAUUGCAUCAGAAACUGUUGAACUUGAGUGCAGAAGAGGAGAGUGGAACUCCAUGUGUAGCGGUGGAAUGCGUAGAUAUAUGGAAGAACACCAGUGGCGAAGGCGGCUCUCUGGUCUGCAACUGACGCUGAGGCUCGAAAGCAUGGGUAGCGAACAGGAUUAGAUACCCUGGUAGUCCAUGCCGUAAACGAUGAGUGCUAAGUGUUGGGAGGUUUCCGCCUCUCA